GUGGUUCGAUUAUGGCUCAGAUUGAACGCUGGCGGGAUGCUUUACACAUGCAAGUCGAACGGCAGCACGGACUUAUUCGUGGCGAGUGGCGAACGGUGAGUACUACCGGAACGUGCUCAGUGGGGAUAAUUCCACGCGAAAAGCAGAAGCAAUACCGCAUAUUGCCCUUCGGGAAAGCGGGGACCUUCGGGCCUCGUACCAUUAGAGCGGCCGAUAUCGGAUUAGCUAGUUGGUGGGUAACGGCUCACCAAGGCGACGAUCCGUCCGUAGCUGGUUUGAGAGGACGACCAGCCACACUGGGAUCAGAUACGGCCCAGACUCCUACGGAGCGCAGUAUGGGAAUUUUUGGCUGUCGGGGAAACCCUGAUCCAGCCAUCCCGCGUGUGCGAUGAAGGCCUUCGGGUUGUAAAGCACUUUUGGCAGGAAGAAACGGCACGGGAUAAUACCCCGUGCAACUGACGGCAUCUGCGGUGAAUAGCACCUGCUAACGACGUGCUGCAGCAGCCAGCGGUAAAUACGCAGGAAAAAAGCGUUAAUCGGAAUUGUCGGCGUAAAGCGUGCGCAGGCGGUUCGGGAAAGAAAGAUGUGGAACUCAGAGCUUAACUUUGGAACUGCAUUUUUAACUACCGAGCUAGAGUGUGUCAGAGGGAGGUGGAAUCGCGUGUAGUAGGAAAUGCGUAGUAUGCGGAGGAACACCGAUGGCGAAGGCAGCCUCCCUGGGAUAACACUGACGCUCAUGCACGAAAGCGUGGGAGCAAACAGGAUUAGAUACUCCCAAGUAGUCCACGCCCUAAACGAUGUCAACUAGCUGUUGGGCUCUCGGCUCCUGGUAGCGCAGCUAACGCGUAGUUGACCGCCUGGGGAGUACGGUCGCAAGAUUAAAACUCAAAGGAAUUGACGGGACCCGCACAAAGCGUGCGGAUGAUGUGACUUUUCAAUUCGAUGCAACGCGAAAACCUGUUCUACCCCGACAUGUCUGGAAUCCCGAAGAGAUUUGGGAGUGCCUACAAGAGAACCGAACACAGGUGCUGCAUGGCUGUCGUCAGCUCGUGUCGAGAUGUUGGGUUAAGUCCCGCAACGAGCGCAACUCUGUCAUUAGUUGCUACGAAAGGGCACUCUAAUGAGACUGCCGGUGACAAACCGAGGAAGGUGGGGAUGACGUCAAGUCCUCAUGGCCCUUAUGGGUAGGGCUUCAACACGUCAUACAAUGGUCGGGACAGAGGGUCGCCAACCCGCGAGGGGAGCCAAUCCCCAGAAACCCGAUCGUAGUCCGGAUCGCAAAUUGCAACUCGACUGCGUGAAGUCGGAAUCGCUAGUAAUCGCGGAUCAGCAUGUCGCGGUGAAUACGUUCCCGGGUCUUGUACACACCGCCCGUCACACCAUGGAGUGGGUUUUACCAGAAGUAGUUAGCCUAACCGUAAGGGGAGGGCGAUUACCACGGUAGGAUUCAUGACUGGGGUGAAGUCGUAACAAGGUAG
rnacentral:rRNA from 1 species